rnacentral:rRNA from 1 species
ACUCCUACGGGAGGCAGCAGUGAGGAAUAUUGGUCAAUGGGCGAGAGCCUGAACCAGCCAAGUAGCGUGCAGGAUGACGGCCCUAUGGGUUGUAAACUGCUUUUAUAAGGGAAUAAAGUGGGUCUCGUGAGACUUUUUGCAUGUACCUUAUGAAUAAGGACCGGCUAAUUCCGUGCCAGCAGCCGCGGUAAU